UCACAUAAAAUUAUUUUUCUCUUCAUCUUUGCAUUUUCUCCUUUCUUCUUUGCUUUGCUGUAUGUACUAUGUUCACCGAGAUAGGUAUCGCGAAAUUUCUGAUGUAAAAUUUCUGGAAGCCACCUUGAAUUUCUCAAUAUAAACCCUGAGCUAACACAAUAAUAUCGUCUUUAAAUCUACUCUGAAUAUCUGGACUAAAAAUAAACGUUUGAUCACUGCAACGAUAAUAUAUGGAUUUUCCCAUUUUGGCAUUUUCUCAAAACACAUUUGUAGCUUCUCAGCUGUGCACGGCGCGAAGCAUUUUUAAUUGAUUGAUUUGGAUCUUCAAUGAACGAUUACAAGAAGGACCAAAAUUUUUUGCUGGCAAGGUGGUCCACGGACAUGCCAUUUUUGGCCGAUACAAAACUUCUUGUCGAUUUAUCAAAUUCUUUUAGUUUGCAUGCAGCAAAUUAUCUCAACGCUUGCGCUUGCAAGACGUUUGAUAAAAAUUUUAUGCGAGGCUUUAAAAUGAAUGCAAUUUGCCGGGACAGAUGCAGAGUUCUUCGAAGAUUUAAUUUGGGUACGCUACCGUGAGAAUUUUACCCCACCGUGCCCGAUGGCACACGGGUUAAUUUAACGUAACCGGCGCCCUCCAGAGACUUAAACAAUUCCUAUAAGUUAGGAGCCUAAACUGCAUUGGAAAAAUCGGAUAUAUUUAUUGUAUAUGGCCCAGUACUCUCUCUGCCUGGGAGUGUUGAGGCCCCUGCACAGCGACAAUUGCUGAUACAUAUUAUAUGGAAAUUUGAUUGCGACAUCUUUACCAGAGCCAUAGACAAUCUCGAUGCAAGAACGACUCCGGUCGGCCAAAUGACACGCCUAAAAUUAAGUAAAUAAUAUAGAACCUUUUUAACAUUGACUUAACCUGGAAGAUAGGCUACGUUCUCUUUGAGUGAAAUAGAAAUUUUUUAUUUGUUACCCUUACUUUUAUACUCGGAAUUCUUAGCCUGUUCGUACUAUUCAGAGAUGACCUGGUACUAUAAAUAUUUACUCGUCUCUUAAUUACCCUAUGCAAGCUCGCUUUCCCGUUUAAAAUGUGCAAGUAGCAAGUUGCGGGUUUUUUAGCGAGUUUUCUCAGCUUUAAACUGAAAAGAAGAAAUGGCAACCAAGUAAUAACUAAGAGAAUUAUAUUCAGUCAUACUCGAAUAUUUUUUAUCCAUCAUCGUUAUC